rnacentral:rRNA from 1 species
CGUAGGGUGCGAGCGUUAAUCGGAAUUACUGGGCGUAAAGCGUGCGCAGGCGGUUUGUUAAGAUAGGCGUGAAAUCCCCGGGCUCAACCUGGGAACUGCGCUUAUGACUGGCAAGCUAGAGUACGGCAGAGGGGGUGGAAUUCCACGUGUAGCAGUGAAAUGCGUAGAGAUGUGGAGGAACACCAAUGGCGAAGGCAGCCCCCUGGGUCGAUACUGACGCUCAUGCACGAAAGCGUGGGUAGCAAACAGGAUUAGAUACCCUGGUAGUCCACGCCCUAAACGAUGUCAACUAGGUGUUGGGAGGGUAAAACCUUUUAGUACCGGAGCUAACGCGUGAAGUUGACCGCCUGGGGAGUACGGCCGCAAGGUUA